rnacentral:rRNA from 1 species
UCAGAACGAACGCUGGCGGCGUGCUUAACACAUGCAAGUCGAACGCGAAAGGGACUUCGGUCCUGAGUAAAGUGGCGCACGGGUGAGUAACGCGUAGAUAACCUGUCUUCAUGUCUGGAAUAAUACGCCGAAAGGGGUACUAAUACCGGAUAUUCUUGCUUUUCAUAAGUUAUGCAAGCAAAGGUGGCCUCUGCAUAUGCUACUGCAUGAAGAGGGGUCUGCGUACCAUUAGCUAGUAGGUGGGGUAAUGGCCUACCUAGGCGACGAUGGUUAGCGGGUCUGAGAGGAUGAUCCGCCACACUGGCACUGGAACACGGGCCAGACUCCUACGGGAGGCAGCAGUGAGGAAUAUUGCGCAAUGGGGGAAACCCUGACGCAGCGACGCCGCGUGAGUGAGGAAGGCCUUCGGGUCGUAAAGCUCUGUCAAGAGGAAAGAAGUGUACAAUGGCUAAUACCUGUUGUAUUUGACGGUACCUCUAAAGGAAGCACCGGCUAACUCCGUGCCAGCCGCCGC